rnacentral:rRNA from 1 species
UGGGGAAUAUUGCACAAUGGGCGCAAGCCUGAUGCAGCCAUGCCGCGUGUGUGAAGAAGGCCUUCGGGUUGUAAAGCACUUUCAGCGAGGAGGAAGGGUAGUGUGUUAAUAGCACAUUGCAUUGACGUUACUCGCAGAAGAAGCACCGGCUAACUCCGUGCCAGCAGCCGCGGUAAUACGGAGGGUGCAAGCGUUAAUCGGAAUUACUGGGCGUAAAGCGCACGCAGGCGGUUUGUUAAGUCAGAUGUGAAAUCCCCGCGCUUAACGUGGGAACUGCAUUUGAAACUGGCAAGCUAGAGUCUUGUAGAGGGGGGUAGAAUUCCAGGUGUAGCGGUGAAAUGCGUAGAGAUCUGGAGGAAUACCGGUGGCGAAGGCGGCCCCCUGGACAAAGACUGACGCU